rnacentral:tRNA from 1 species
GCCGAGCUCAUGCUCAGUCGGUAAAGCAUAAGACUCUUAAUUUCAGGGUCGUGGGUUCGAGCCCCACGUUGGGCG